ensembl:lncRNA FLVCR1-DT FLVCR1 divergent transcript
GAGAACUUCGGGAGGCGGGGGAGGAAAGCGGCCGGCGAGCGCUGGCUGACAUUUUCCUGCCCGGAAGGAUGCAUGGCCCGGGGUCUCCUGCACCUGAGGGUGGGCGGGAGGCGGCCCCGCGGGUUGUGUUGCUGGAAAAAGGGGUCUCGAUCCAGACCCCAAGAGAGGGUUCUUGGGUCUACUUCAGGGAAGAAUUGGAGGCGAGUCACAGAGCGCAGUGAAGGAAGCAAGUUUAUUGGAAUCUACUCCGUUAGAGAGUGCAAGUCCUCAGACUGCAGGAGGAGGAACUCCCGUCCUUCGGUAGUGUCACUACUUAGAGGCAGCUGUGAGGAGCUGUGAUUAAUCGUGGAAUGUGCUGAUGUGCCCACUAAAGCAGAGGAAUAACGCCAGAAAGUGUUCCAGUACAACCAGAGAAAGAGAGUCCAUGAGAAAUCUGCCCUUGUGAAGUUGGAAUCCCCUCAACCUCACCCCGCUGACUUGAAUGAAGCGACUGAGACGGGCUAUGAUGGAGCAGAUCCGGUUGCUCGACCUUCUCCCUUGCACCAACACAUGUAGUUAAUAGUUACUGGACAUGCAUAUUCAGUGGGUUCCAGGUACCAAACUUGUAUUGAAUGGUAUGUGCCAGACACCGUCUUGAGAUCUGGAGAAUAAAAAAAUAAAAAAAUAAAAACGAGACAUCCAGAGCACAGUAGCCUUGCGGUCUUCCUGGAACUAGAGAAAAUUCAGCCCUUCUGCUCCUUGGGAAGCUAUGUUUGGGAAAAAAAAAAAAAGAGAGAGAGAGAGACUCCAAAGAGUUUGUUAUUAAAUUUAAGUUCAAACUAGGUGUAUAUAGUACAAAAGUUCUUACCAUGCAUUUAAUCUUAAAAUGUGCUGAUAUCUAGAACCCUAAAACCCUGCACUUUUUUAUUGCCUCUUACAUUAUUAUUUUGGUCAUGUAUGAAAUAUAUCAGGCAUCUCUCGGUACAGGUGAAAUGCUACAUGUUCUAAACUAAGGAAUAAGUGCAUUAUUAUAAUGUCUUCCUUGGCCAAACUGUAUAAAUCCCCCCCUCCGCCCGCCCCGGCCAACAUCCCUUCCCUGCUUUUUUUUUUCUUUCUUUCCUAGUGCUUACCUUCACCUAAAAUGUCCUAUAUUUUUACUUUUUUUUUCUGGUUAUUUUCUUUCUUUCUUUUUUUUUUUGACAGUCUUGCUCUGUCACCCAGGCUGGAGUGCAGUGGCGCGAUCUCGGCUCACUGCAACCUCCACCUCCCAGGUUCAAGCGAUUCUUCUGCCUCAGCCUCCCGAGUAACUGGAACUACAGGCCCGCGCCAUCAUGCCUGGCUAAUUUUUGUAUUUUUCUUUAGUGGAGACAGGGUUUCACCAUAUUGGCCAGGCUGGUCUUGAACUCCUGACCUCGUGAUCCGCCCGCCUCAGCCUCGCAAAGUGCUGGGAUUACAGGCCUGAGCCACCGAGCCUGGCCUCUUUCUUUCUUUUCUUUCUUUCUCUCUCUCUUUCUUUCCUUCUCUCUCUCUCUCUCGGCUGACCACCAAGCCUGAGUACUUUUUGUAUUUUUUGUAGAGAUGGGGUUUUGCCACAUUGCUCAGACUGGUCUCAACUGAUCAGCUCACUUCGGCCUCCCAAAGUGCUAGGAUUACAGGCAUGAGCCAUUGUGCUGGGCCUUUUUCUGGUUAUUUUCUCCCUGCCCACUAGAAUGUGAGUUCCAUAAGGGCAGGGCUGAAAGUUUUGUUGCUUUUUGCUACCGCUACUAUUUUUCAAGAAUUUGUAACCAGUGUACUUUGUGCGAGUACCUAGCACAUAGUAGCUGUUCAAUAAAUAUUUACUGAGUACA